rnacentral:lncRNA from 1 species
CUUCCAUAUAAGGUCUCUAAUCCCUGGUUUUCCAACCCAAAGCUUCGAUAACCACUCUCUCAUUUCUCGCUGCCCAAUAGAGUUGCUCGAGCUCCAUAACGAAGUGUAGUGUUCCCGCUCUUUAUCCAGAAACAUAGCUAAGAAAUUUAUGUCAUAAGAAAAUUCCACCUCUCCCAAAUCACCAUCUAUAGUACUUCCAUUUUCUGAACCGUUAGCAGGUUGGUCAACUCGAAUCAUCCCGCUCUUUAUCCAAAAACAUAGCUAAGAAAUUUAUGUCAUAAGAAAAUUCCACCUCUCCCAAAUCACCAUAUAUAGUACUUCCAUUUUCUGAACCUUUAGCAGGUUGGUCAACUCUAAUCCUCUUCACUUUCAUUGACAGGUUAGAGCAGCUCAAACUGUUGUCCAAGGACAACACAUUUUUUUUGACAUCCUCAAUACUGAUAUCAUCCAAAGCAAGAAGCCCAGCACGGCAAACUCCUU